CAUGCUGCAAACACUGGUUUUCGUCCGAUCACUGAAGUUAAGAAUCAUCGAGAACAGUCAGUACUUGGGAGGGUGACCACUUGGGGAACACC